AUGUCCUUCCCCCCCUCCGCCCAGAAAAGGACCCAAAACACGUUUUGCCUUACAGCCCUCUGAGGCGAACAUGUGGCCAGGCGUGGCACACCAUUCGCUCCCUGAAGGAGGACUGGCAGCGACUGCAGCAGGGACAGAAAGCAGCCAUCAUGAGCUUGCUGAGACACAACUCAUCCCUGUCCAAGCAGAAGAACGAGAUGGUGUCCAUGCAUCAGAGACUCAUGGCCAAGCUGGACUUCUUCACUACCA